ACACGACUACAUUAGAUACCCCUGUAGUCCCAGCUGUAAACUAUGUGCGGUAGGUGUGUCAGUGACCACGUGUCACUGAGGUGCCGAAGGGAAACCGUGAAACGCACCGCCUGGGAGUACGGUCGCAAGGCUGAAACUUAAAGGAAUUGGCGGGGGAGCACCGCAACGGGAGGAGCGUGCGGUUCAAUUGGAUUCAACGCCGGACAACUCACCAGGAGCGACGGUUACAUGAAGGCCAGGCUGAUGACCUUGCCUGAUUUUCCG
rnacentral:rRNA from 1 species